rnacentral:rRNA from 1 species
UACGUAGGGGGCAAGCGUUGUCCGGAUUUAUUGGGCGUAAAGCGCGUGUAGGCGGUCCGGUAAGUCCGCUGUGAAAGUCGGGGGCUCAACCCUCGGAUGCCGGUGGAUACUGUCGGGCUUGAGUACGGAAGAGGCGAGUGGAAUUCCUGGUGUAGCGGUGGAAAUGCGCAGAUAUCAGGAGGAACACCAAUAGCGAAAGCGCACCCUAGCGUUAGCCUGACGCUCAUGUGCGAAAGCGUGGGAGCGAACGGG